rnacentral:rRNA from 1 species
CGUUUGAGAUUUGAGAGGGGCUGCUCCUAGUACGAGAGGACCGGAGUGGACGAACCUCUGGUGUUCCGGUUGUCACGCCAGUGGCAUUGCCGGGUAGCUAUGUUCGGAAGAGAUAACCGCUGAAAGCAUCUAAGCGGGAAACUUGCCUCAAGAUGAGAUCUCACUGGAGCCUUGAGCUUCCUAAAGGGCCGUCGAAGACUACGACGUUGAUAGGUCGGGUGUGUAAGCGCUGUGAGGCGUUGAGCUAACCGAUACUAAUUGCCCGUGAGGCUUGACCAUAUAACACCCAAACA